rnacentral:rRNA from 1 species
GACGAACGCUGGCGGCGUGCCUAAUACAUGCAAGUUGAGCGCUCAAGGUUGGUGCUUGUACCGACUGCGUUAGCAGCGGACGGGUGAGUAACGCGUGGGUAAUCUACCUUUAAGCCUGGGACAACUUCUGGAAACCAAAGCUAAUACCGCAUAAAAUCUUUAAACACAAGUUUUAAUAUUGAAAGAUGGUAUUGCUUCACUCAAAGAUGAUCUCGCGUCGUAUUAGCUAGUUGGGGAGGGAAAGGCUCUACAAGGCGGAGGAACAUAACCGACCCUAGAGGGUGGUCGGCCAACUUGGGACUGAGACAAGGCCCAAGAUCCUUCGGGAGGCAGCAGUAGGGAAGCCUCCGCAAAGGACGAAAGGCUGAACGAGCAACGCCGGCGGAGGGAAGGAGGGUGUCGGAUCGUAAAACUCUGUUGGUAGAGAAGAAAGAUGGUGAGAGGGGAAAGCUCACGAAGUGACGGUAACUAACCAGAAAGCGACGGCUAACUACGUG